CUGAAGUCAAAGAGGGCUCAGAGGGCUCACGGAGCUUUCCUCUCAAUGACGAUCAGCCUCUCUGGAAUCCCUCCAGUGUCAGCAGGGAUGGUGUCAGGGUUCUCCAAGCAAGAGGGCGUAAGGAAUGGAAGAGUUGAGAAAAAUGAGGGUUAGAGUGACACUGUGUCAGUGCCCUGGCUAGUCUCCGCCAGCUGGACAAGCUGGGGCCUCCUCUCCGCCUUGACUGGCCUGUACUGGGGGAGGGAGCCAAGGGCAGGACCCUUUUGCACCUCUACCCUGGGCCUGGUCCAUUCUUGCUCCUGGGACCUCCCCAGAAAUCUCCGCAGCACACACCACCAGCGCAGAGACCCAGACCGAAGUGGCCACGUGCUCCGUGUGAGGGCUCGUCUGUAAGAAGCAAGGACGCACAGGUGGCUCCUUUCCCCUUCCUAGGGGUCCCUUGCAGGGCUGGGACCCCACUCUAGGCGAGGCCUCUGGGCAAGGAUGACAGUCCCUGUCUGCCUCUGGGACAGGAGAGCCCCUGAAGGAGGAAUUUUAACUGGCGAAACUCGGAACUCCAUCCAAACACAGCCGAAACCAUCCUGGGUGGUUCAGAGGCGGCUGCCUCCCAGACAAGCCCAUAGCCCCACAGAAACGCCUGGUCCUUCGCCUGCCAGAGCUCAGGCUUUUUGGUUGAAGCCGGAGACAGGCUCAGCUCAGAGUGUUCCCUGGUUCAUCGUGAACACAGAGUUGGUGCGGUGUGUGUGACAGACCAGCGGAGUGGGUCUCUCUGCGUGUCCUGUGGCUGGCCCUUGGCUCCCAGCCUCGAGUCCUACCCUUGGGCCAGGUCAGAGCAAGAUCAGCAGCAGGCCCGGCUCAGACACCACCCAGGCUCACGAGGUGGCUUUGUGGCGAGCAAAUGAGGUUGUUUUGUUUUAUUUCCCUUGUAAAGUUGCUUGUUGUUAAUUUAAAAUUUUUAUUUCAUUUCUGAAUUAACAUUCAGUAAAACUGCUAUUUUUUGGUGUACGGUUCUAUGAAUGUAACACAUUUACAGAUUCAUGUAGCAACACUGUGGACACAGAACAGUUACAUCACCCCCAGAACUCCUUUCAUAGCCGCACUCCCCCAGCGCAGCCCGGCAGCUCUCCCUGUGCUUUUGUCUUUUGUAGAGGAAAUCAGGCAGCUGGCAGCACUUGGAGACCAGCUCCUCCCGCUGGGUGUGUCGCAACCCCCGAGCCGACCACGCGUCCACAGCUCCCUCCUCGGCGGUGCUGGGCAGGGUUCUGUGCGGAGGCACCUGUGCCACUGAAGCAUCUUUGGGUUGUUUCCAGGGUGGGAUGAUUGCUGAAUAGAGCUGUUUGUGCAUUUACAUUGUAGGUUUUUGUGUGAAGAUAAGCUUUAGUUUCUCUUGGGUAAACACCCAGAAGUGUGAUUGCUGAGUCGUGUGGGAAAUAUAUGCUCAACUUUACAAGGAAACGCCAAAGGCCGGCCCUGCACUUUGCACUCCUGCCGAUCAGGAAUGAGAGUGCCUGAUGCUCCGUGUUCUUGCGGGCACUCAGCAUUUUCCGUGCUUACAUUUUAGCCACCCUGGAAUGAGUGAAAAGCGUUUCAUCGUGGCUGUUUUGCAUCUCCCUAGUGGCUAAUGGGAGCAUCUUUCACGUGCUGAUUUCCCAUCCAUAUCCCUUACUUGGUGAGGCAUCUGUUCAAGUCCUUCCUCAAGUUGUAAUCGGAUUAUUUGGUGUUUUUACUGUUGGAUUUUGAGAGUUCUUUAUGUAUUCUAGAUACAAUUCCUCUGUCAGAUAUGCGAUUCACAAAUAUUUUCUCCAACUCUUUGUCUUGUGUUUUAAUUCUCUCCACAGUGACUUUUGCAGCAUUCAUGAAGAUUUUCUGUUUUCUUCUCAAAGUUUUAUAAGCCACUAUAUUUAAAAUUUUAAUUUAAAAACUGUAAACCUAUUAUAGUUUUUAAAUUAAAUGGUAAACCUAUUAUGUAGAUUUUCUGUUUAAACCUGUGAUUCCUUUUAAGUUAAUUAUUAUGUAAAGCGUGAGGUUUGGGUCAAGGCAUUCCUUUCCUUAAAAUUCCCAAACAGCGUUUCAUUUAUCUUAGACAGAAGUCUUGACCUGCAGGGUCAGGCUCCUCUGCUCUCUGAGCUCCUCCUCCCCACGCAGUGCCAGCCCCUUGACUAUUCUCAGCGCUCAGGCCUUGGCCUCCAUACCCGCUUGGCACCCACCAAGAGGGUCCGGGGAUCCCUCCGCAGGGCAGCCUUCUGUCUAUGGUGUGAAGCGGGAGCGGUGGCCAGGGAGAGCCAGGCUGGGACCCAAUCUCUGCUUUAGGCUGGUCAUUUUUGCCAGGGUUGGUGUUGGAUUGAGGGACAUGGAGGGAGGAAAGGGGGUCAGUUAGGGGCAAGUUUCCUCGUGCAGGUAACCAGCUGAGGGCUCGACGGGAGAGGAGAGACAAGGAGGGCAGAGCUCAGGGGAGCUGGCCUGACGAGGCGACCAGAAUGUGAUCACUGGAUCCCUGACUGAAGGCCCAGGUGUGGCCCCAGUCUGGACAGUUACAGCCACCGUGGGGAAGCUUCAGAAACCAAGAAUACUGUCUGGGAAGCUGAUCUGCAGAGAGAAUGGAGCAGACGGAGGUGCGAUGGGGAAGAGAGACAAAGGAGAGGAGGAUAAAAGCCUGUUGCUGGUUCCACUAUGUUGGGCUUGUCAGCCUGGCUUCUUCUUGUCUCAUCCAUAAAGUGGGCUGACGUCGCCUAUCAUGGUUGGGAGGCACAGGGAAGCGUUGUGCUGCGUGCUCGGCCCGGCCGACCCAGCAGCUCUCCAGCCUUGGGGACUCUCCAGACAGGUGUGAGCAGGUGAGGUGCUGGACCAGGGAAGGGCGGGGGGAGGACAUGCCGAGGGGAGCUCUGUGAGGUGAGCUGCCUGCUUUGAGGGUGCCCUUGAGGCCCAGGACUGAGCCCUGGAGGGACAGGCUUCCUUCCUCCUGCUGGGGCUCAGAAAACAACGCCCCAAAAUGAAGGCCUCAGCAGCAGCCUCAGAAGCAAAAGUUUUCUCUGACCUUCUCCUGCCCUCCUGCCUCUCAGUCUCAUUCUCCCCCAAGGCACCGCAGAAACCAGACUCUCUUUUUCCCCAAGGCCAGUCGUAGAAACCAGAACCCCUUCUCCCCAAAGCUGGUCAUAAAACCUAAAAAUAUUACUCAGUUUUCCAUCUGCCUUUCUAUAUAAGAACUGACUACAAAGAAAUGAUCUGACAGACCCUGUUUGACUACAGGUCACAAGACUCCCCUUCCAGAGAGGGCCCUGCCCCACGCCCAGAGGAAAAAAUGCUCAAAGAGGCCAAAAAAAAUCUAGACAUACCUUGCUGGUUUCCCACUCAGUCUGUUAAUAUUAGAUCAACUCCUUUUUGUCCAGUCCUUUUUCUAGAGGACUGUUCAUACUCUUUUAAACCUAAACAUAAAAAUGGACAAUUUCCUCCAUCUUUGGGUCUUUGCUUUAAAGGCUAUCAUAUAUACACACUAAAUAAAUUUGCAUACCUUUUCUCCUAUUGAUCGAUCCGUCUCAUGUAGUGAUUUUCACGCUCCCCGCGGCAGGCACAGUGGGCCCGGGGUGUAGUUGUGGCCACUCGGACCCUCCUCGGAGCUGGUUUAGCUGUGCUAUGUGCUUGUAGGAAUGGAUUACCAUGAUUUCUGGGCUCUAAUAAACUGUGCUUCAGUCG